GAUGAACGCUGGCGGCGUGCCUAAUACAUGCAAGUCGAGCGAACAGACGAGGAGCUUGCUCCUCUGACGUUAGCGGCGGACGGGUGAGUAACACGUGGAUAACCUACCUAUAAGACUGGGAUAACUUCGGGAAACCGGAGCUAAUACCGGAUAAUAUAUUGAACCGCAUGGUUCAAUAGUGAAAGACGGUUUUGCUGUCACUUAUAGAUGGAUCCGCGCCGCAUUAGCUAGUUGGUAAGGUAACGGCUUACCAAGGCAACGAUGCGUAGCCGACCUGAGAGGGUGGUCGGCCACACUGGAACUGAGACACGGUCCAGACUGCUACGGGAGGCAGCAGUAGGGAAUCUUCCGCAAUGGGCGAAAGCUUGACGGAGCAACGCCGCGUGAGUGAUGAAGGUCUUCGGAUCUUAAAACUCUGUUAUUAGGGAAGAACAAAUGUGUAAGUAACUAUGCACGUCUUGACGGUACCUAAUCAGAAAGCCACGGCUAACUACGUG
rnacentral:rRNA from 1 species